CAUUUCUAGCUUGCUAGAAGAUGACGAGCGGCGGACGGGUGAGUAACGCGUAGAAAUCUACCUAGUAGUGGGGGAUAGCCCAGAGAAAUUUGGAUUAAUACCGCAUACGCCCUACCGGGGGAAAGCGGGGGAUCUUCGGACCUCGUGCUAUUAGAUGAGUCUGCGUCGGAUUAGCUUGUUGGUGAGGUAAUGGCUCACCAAGGCGACGAUCCGUAGCUGGUCUGAGAGGAUGACCAGCCACACUGGAACUGAGACACGGUCCAGACUCCUACGGGAGGCAGCAGGUGGGGAAUAUUGCACAAUGGGCGCAAGCCUGAUGCAGCCAUGCCGCGUGUGUGAAAGAAGGCCGUUAGGGUUGUAAAGCUACUUUCAGCAGUGAAGGAAAGGGGUGUCGUUAAUAGCGCCAUCCUGUGACGUUAACUGCAGAAGAAGGACCGGCUAACUCCGUG
rnacentral:rRNA from 1 species